AACGCUAGCUACAGGCUUAACACAUGCAAGUCGAGGGGCAGCAUGGUCUUAGCUUGCUAAGGCCGAUGGCGACCGGCGCACGGGUGAGUAACACGUAUCCAACCUGCCGUCUACUCUUGGACAGCCUUCUGAAAGGAAGAUUAAUACAAGAUGGCAUCAUGAGUCCGCAUGUUCACAUGAUUAAAGGUAUUCCGGUAGACGAUGGGGAUGCGUUCCAUUAGAUAGUAGGCGGGGUAACGGCCCACCUAGUCUUCGAUGGAUAGGGGUUCUGAGAGGAAGGUCCCCCACAUUGGAACUGAGACACGGUCCAAACUCCUACGGGAGGCAGCAGUGAGGAAUAUUGGUCAAUGGGCGAGAGCCUGAACCAGCCAAGUAGCGUGCAGGAUGACUGCCCUAUGGGUUGUAAACUUCUUUUAUAUGGGAAUAAAGUAUUCCACGUGUGGGAUUUUGUAUGUACCAUAUGAAUAAGGAUCGGCUAACUCCGUGCCAGCAGCCGCGGUAAUACGGAAGGUCCGGGCGUUAUCCGGAUUUAUUGGGUUUAAAGGGAGCGUAGGCCGGAGAUUAAGCGUGUUGUGAAAUGUAGAUGCUCAACAUCUGAACUGCAGCGCGAACUGGUUUCCUUGAGUACGCAUAAAGUGGGCGGAAUUCGUGGUGUAGCGGUGAAAUGCUUAGAUAUCACGAAGAACUCCGAUUG
rnacentral:rRNA from 1 species